UGGAUAGUGAAUAUCAACUGAUGCAUGAUCCAACACUUGAUCCAAUGUCGCCUUCUGCCGAGUGUGUAAUGCACAUACAUCUCUGCUUCUGAAUCCUU
rfam:Zea mays cultivar B73 chromosome 7, whole genome shotgun sequence.